rnacentral:lncRNA from 1 species
AGUAACAGAACCUGCGUGCAAGAGCUAGGUGAAGGACCAGUCAGUCCUCUAGCUCUAGGGAAGCUCUGUCCACUUCUCUGAGGAAGUGAGGCCACGUGUGGGGUACCGCAGCCCGUCCAUCAUUGCCUUCUCCAGCUGCUGGAGACAGGGCACCGGAGGUCGCACCCCACGUUCAGGUGGCAGUGUUGAAGCCAAAAGCUUCUAAAGAAGUGGUUUCUGAAAAAUUAAGAGUUGAAUGUAUAUGAGUAAGCAAACACGGGAAUCCAACAAAACCACAGCCUGUGACAGAUCAAGCCUAGUACCUUUCCAGCACUUAAGAAGAGUUCAUGCCGAAUCUAUUCACUAUUCAUCUUGACUCCAUCAUGAAGGUAAACUAAAUUGCCA